AACGAACGCUGGCGGCAUGCCUAACACAUGCAAGUCGAACGAGACCUUCGGGUCUAUUGGCGCACGGGUGCGUAACGCGUGGGAACCUGCACUUAGGUUCGGAAUAACUCCCCGAAAGGGGUGCUAAUACCGGAUAAUGUCUUCGGCCCAAAGAUUUAUCGCCCUUGGAUGGGCCCGCGUUGGAUUAGCUAGUUGGUAGGGUAAAAGCCUGCCAAGGCGACGAUCCAUAGCUGGUCUGAGAGGAUGAUCAGCCACACUGGGACUGAGAAACGGCCUAGACUCCUACGGGAGGCAGCAGUGGGGAAUAUUGGACAAUGGGCGAAAGCCUGAUCCAGCAAUGCCGGGUGAGUGAUGAAGGCCUUAGGGUUGUAAAGCUCUUUUACCCGGGAUGAUAAUGACAGUACCGGGAGAAUAAGCUCCGGCUAACUCCGUG
rnacentral:rRNA from 1 species